GUAGCUCCAAGAGUUUCCGUGGCCAGAUUUGAAUGCUCCAAGUGCUAAUAACGUCUGCUAGUCGGCCUUCCUACUGCUCAGAAAAUUUCACUCCUGCGGCUUUUUGGCUUGUUUUGAGAAAUCACUGCAGAGGAUAUUUUAUACAGGCCUCAGACCUAUUCCCUGCGAAGUCAGCAAUAAAACUUUCUCCAGGAAGACUAGGUCUGCAGUCAGAAAGCCUGAUACUCUAAAAUACCGAUUUACCCCAAUUCGCACCGAAAUCAUCCUUUCAGAGAGCACUCAUCGUCUCACGGACCAUUCAUCUGGAGAAGGUCUGGAGAGGAACCCCUCCARUCAUGGGUCUUCUCGGGCUCCACUGACCUUGCUGGUCCCACCAACCUCUGCCGUCACUCCAGGGUGG